CCUACGGGAGGCAGCAGUGAGGAAUAUUGGUCACUGGGCGCAGGCCUGAACCAGCCAAGUCGCGUGAGGGAAGACUGCCCUAUGGGUUGUAAACCUCUUUUAUAAGGGAAGAAUACUGAAUACGCGUACUCAGAUGCCCGUACCUUAUGAAUAAGCAUCGGCUAACUCCGUGCCAGCAGCCGCGGUAAUACGGAGGAUGCGAGCGUUAUCCGGAUUUGUGGGUGUUAAGGGGUGCGUAGGCGGUAUUUUAAGUUAGUGGUAAGACGUCGGGGCUUCACCUUGAUUGGCCAUUAAAACUGGGGUACUUGAGUACAGACGAGGUAGGCGGAAUAAGUUAAGUAGCGGUGAAAUGCUUAGAUAUAACGUAGAACCCCGAUAGCGAAGGCAGCUUACCAGACUGUUACUGACGCUGAAGCACGAGAGCGUGGGUAGCGAACAGGAUUAGAUACCCUAGUAGUC
rnacentral:rRNA from 1 species